rnacentral:rRNA from 1 species
GCAAGUCGAGUGGCAGCAUGUCCCGCAACAAUGCGGGAUGAUGGCAACCGGGCAACGGGUGCGGAACACCUGCACUAUCUCUUCCUUUUAAUGUACAAUAACCCAGGGAAACUUGCAUUAAUAAUCCGUAACGUAUAAAACUGGCAUCACUUUAAUGUAUAGUGCCUCCGGCGCUAGAAGAUGGGUGUGCGGCUGAUUACAUCCUUGGCGGGGAAACGGCCCACCACUUCUGCGAUCAGUAAUUGGUGUGAGAUCAGGACCAGUCACACAGGCACUGAGACACGGGCCCGACUCCAACUGGAGGCAGCAGUAAGGAAUAUUGGUCAAUGGACGCAAGUCUGAACCAACCUUGCCGCAUGAAGGAUGAAGGUCCACUGGAUUGUAAACUUAUCUCAUUUGGGAUCGAAAAAAGCUCAUUCUUGAGCACUUGACGGUACCAGAGGAAUAAGCACCGGCUAAUUCCGUGCCAGCAGCCGCGGUAAUACGGAGGGUGCAAGCGUUAUCCCGAUUCGCUGGGUUUAAAGGGAGCGUAGGCGGGCAGAUAAAGUCAAUGGUGAAAUCCCCGAGUUUAACUUGGGAAGUGUCAUUGAUACCAUCUGUCUUGAAUAUCAGGGAGGUAAGCAGAAUAUGUCAUGUAGCGGUGAAAUGUUUAGAUAUGACAUAGAACACCCAUUGAGAAGGCAGAUUAGUACAGGAUUAUUGACGGUGAGGCUAGAAAGCGUGGGGAUCACACAGGAUGAGAUCCCGUGGUUGUUCACCCCAUAAAAUAAGGAUACUGGACAUCAGCGAUACAGGGUUGGUGUCUGAGCGAAAGCAUUAAGUACCCACCUGGGAAGU